rnacentral:rRNA from 1 species
CAAUAGCGUAUAUUUAAGUUGUUGCAGUUAAAAAGCUCGUAGUUGGAUUUCGGGUGGGACGCAGCGGUCUCGCAUUGCGUUUGUACUGCUGCAGCCCUCCUUCUUGCCGGGGGCGGCCUCUCGGACUUCACUGUCUGGGGGUCAGAAUCGGCGAUGUUACUUUGAGUAAAUUAGAGUGUUCAAAGCAAGCUUACGCUCUGAAUAUAAUAGCAUGGGAUAACACGACAGGACUCUGGCCUAUCGUGUUGGUCUAUAGGACCAGAGUAAUGAUUAAGAGGGACAGUCGGGGGCAUUCGUAUUCCGUUGUCAGAGGUGAAAUUCUUGGAUUUACGGGAGACGAACAUCUGCGAAAGCAUUUGCCAAGGAUGUUUUCAUUGA